UGGGAAGCUGCAGUGUGGGCAAGAGUUUCCCAUCUGACAUGGCCACCACUGUCUCCCCAG
rnacentral:miRNA from 1 species